UACGUAGGUGACAAGCGUUGUCCGGAUUUACUGGGCGUAAAGAGCGCGCAGGCGGUCGUUCAAGUCGAGUGUGAAAGCCCCCGGCCCAACUGGGGAGGGUCAUUCGAUACUGAUCGACUCGAAGGCAGGAGAGGGAAGUGGAAUUCCCGGUGUAGUGGUGAAAUGCGUAGAUAUCGGGAGGAACACCAGUGGCGAAGGCGACUUCCUGGCCUGUUCUUGACGCUGAGGCGCGAAAGCGUGGGGAGCGAACAGG
rnacentral:rRNA from 1 species